UGGGGAAUAUUGGACAAUGGGCGCAAGCCUGAUCCAGCCAUGCCGCGUGAGUGAUGACGGCCUUAGGGUUGUAAAGCUCUUUCGCACGCGACGAUAAUGACGGUAGCGUGAGAAGAAGCCCCGGCUAACUUCGUGCCAGCAGCCGCGGUAAUACGAAGGGGGCUAGCGUUGUUCGGAAUCACUGGGCGUAAAGGGUGCGUAGGCGGGAUCUUAAGUCAGGGGUGAAAUCCCGAGGCUCAACCUCGGAACUGCCUUUGAUACUGGGGUCCUUGAGUCCGGAAGAGGUGAGUGGAACUGCGAGUGUAGAGGUGAAAUUCGUAGAUAUUCGCAAGAACACCGGUGGCGAAGGCGGCUCACUGGUCCGGAACUGACGCUGAGGCACGACAGCGUGGGGAGCAAA
rnacentral:rRNA from 1 species